CCUACGUGGCGCAGCAGUGGGGGAUAUUGCACAAUGGGGGGAACCCUGAUGCAGCGACGCCGCGUGGGUGAAGAAGCGCCUCGGCGCGUAAAGCCCUGUCAGCAGGGAAGAAAAUGACGGUAACUGACGAAGAAGCCCCGGCUAACUACGUGCCAGCAGCCGCGGUACUACGUAGGGGGCAAGCGUUAUCCGGAUUUACUGGGUGUAAAGGGGGCGCAGACGGCGAUGCAAGCCAGGAGUGAAAGCCCGGGGCCCAACCCCGGGACUGCUCUUGGAACUGCGUGGCUGGAGUGCAGGAGGGGCAGGCGGAAUUCCUGGGGUAGCGGUGAGAUGCGUAGAUAUCAGGAGGAACACCAGUGGCGAAGGCGGCCUGCUGGACUGCAACUGACGUUGAGGCCCGAAAGCGUGGGGAGCAAACAGGAUUAGAUACCCCUGUAGUC
rnacentral:rRNA from 1 species